CAGGAUUUUAUUUGGCGUUGAUUUCCCGACAGGCAUCUCGAUUUAUAUCCGUUUUGUUACAAAACAAAUUCGUUUCACUCAAAGAUAAGAGGGGGAAAAAUCGGAGAGAUGAAUAUUUGCUAUUUCAUGUGGUACAACUGGCUGACACCCUAAAGUUGCGCGCGCGCAGUAAGAAGAAUUUGCGCUGUUUUCAUCUGUUUCCGCUCCACCGAUUCAGAGAAUAAAACAAUUAAACUAAUUGCUUGAAAUAACAAUGCCAACAACAACAACAACAACAACAACAACAACCACAACAACAGCAGCAGCAACAACAACGACGACGACGACGACGACGACUUCAGCAACAAACUUUGGACAUUAAGAAAGCAAAACAAGUCAAGAAAAGAAAACACGAGUCAAUGAAUGAGUGAAUGAAUGAGUGAAUGAACGACUGAAUGAAUUUGCAUAAAUGAAAAACCCAGAAUUUUGUUUUAUAUUGUUUUAUUUGUGGAAUAAAAAUUUAAGUAAAAGGUGGAAAUUUAAUCAAGAAUAAUACAGGAUCUAUUGCACAUUUAAAGGACAAGGAGAAUUCUAGAACGAAGAAAGUUUUUAAUAAAAGUAAAAUAAAAUGGAGUCUGAGAAUACUUUAGAAAUGUGCAUUUCCGAUUAUUAUUAUUAUUAUCAUUAUUAUUAUUAUCAUCAUUUUGAAUUGAUGCUACUUUUGGAUUUCCUGGUAUCUGAGCUAGGUAGCAAUCAGCCCCUUUUGUUAUCGUUUUUAGGACACCUAUGACAACAGGUAUUGUUUUAGUCAUGAGGCUCCACAUGUUUUGUCAAUUUCUUUUCCAAGAUCCUUAUACUUGCUCAGAUUUUGAUAGGUUUUGACAGAUACAUUUAUGUCGAUUAAGACAGUUAUAUCAAUGAGGAAGCAUGAUUUUUGUCGGAAUCCUUCAAUAUAAUGUGUGGCCUCUUCGCAUCUAUCUUUCUGUCAGUUGGAAUGGUGAAGUUCCAGAUGAGUGAGAUGUGGUCAUUUUCAAGCACUGGAGGUGGCUCGUGUUCCAAGCAACUUUUAUCACGGGGCAGGACCAUGUUUUUGUAAAUAACCCAGUGAAUAUACUGUGCUGCUCUAUCAUACCUGUUGAGAUACUCUGUCGGUGCAAGCAGACUGCACAUGGAGACAACAUGACUGACGGUUUCAUACACGACCUGUUGGUCUACUGCCGUUUUUCUAUAUGUUGGCCUGGUAGCUCCUUGUAGGUAGGCAUUGCUCUUGAGCCGCUAUGUUAAACCAUUCUGUCCAUUUCACAGAAGGGUAUUAUUAUUAUUAUUAUUAUUAUUAUUAUUAUUAUUAUCACCAUCGUCUUCGUUGUCAUCAUCAUCGUCGUCAUUGUU